AAAUUGAAGAGUUUGAUCAUGGCUCAGAUUGAACGCUGGCGGCAGGCCUAACACAUGCAAGUCGAACGGUAACAGGAAGCAGCUUGCUGCUUCGCUGACGAGUGGCGGACGGGUGAGUAAUGUCUGGGAAACUGCCUGAUGGAGGGGGAUAACUACUGGAAACGGUAGCUAAUACCGCAUAACGUCGCAAGACCAAAGGGGGGGGACCUUCGGGCCUCUUGCCAUCGGAUGUGCCCAGAUGGGAUUAGCUUGUUGGUGGGGUAACGGCUCACCAAGGCGACGAUCCCUAGCUGGUCUGAGAGGAUGACCAGCCACACUGGAACUGAGACACGGUCCAGACUCCUACGGGAGGCAGCAGUGGGGAAUAUUGCACAAUGGGCGCAAGCCUGAUGCAGCCAUGCCGCGUGUAUGAAGAAGGCCUUCGGGUUGUAAAGUACUUUCAGCGGGGAGGAAGGGAGUAAAGUUAAUACCUUU
rnacentral:rRNA from 1 species